UAGGGAAUAUUGGACAAUGGGGGCAACCCUGAUCCAGCCAUGCCGCGUGAGUGAAGAAGGCCCUCGGGUUGUAAAGCUCUUUUGUCCGGAAAGAAAAGCAUUCGGUGAAUACCCGGAUGUUCUGACGGUACCGGAAGAAUAAGCACCGGCUAACUUCGUGCCAGCAGCCGCGGUAAUACGAAGGGUGCAAGCGUUACUCGGAAUUACUGGGCGUAAAGCGUGCGUAGGUGGUUGUUUAAGUCUGAUGUGAAAGCCCUGGGCUCAACCUGGGAAUGGCAUUGGAAACUGGGCAGCUAGAGUGCGGUAGAGGGUAGUGGGAUUCCCGGUGUAGCAGUGAAAUGCGUAGAGAUCGGGAGGAACAUCUGUGGCGAAGGCGACUGCCUGGACCAGCACUGACACUGAGGCACGAAAGCGUGGGGAGCAAACA
rnacentral:rRNA from 1 species